rnacentral:rRNA from 1 species
AGAGUUUGAUCAUGGCUCAGAAUCAACGCUGGCGGCGCGCCUAACACAUGCAAGUCGAACGAGAAAGGGGAGCAAUCCCUGAGUACAGUGGCGUACGGGUGAGUAACACGUGGGUAAUCUACCUCUUUGAGUGGAAUAACCCUGGGAAACCGGGGCUAAUACCGCAUAAGCCUGAGAAGGGAAAGUCGCAAGACGCAGAGAGAGGAGCCCGCGGCCGAUUAGCUAGUUGGUGAGGUAAAAGCCCACCAAGGCAGAGAUCGGUAGCCGGCCUGAGAGGGCACACGGCCACACUGGCACUGAAACACGGGCCAGACUCCUACGGGAGGCAGCAGUGGGGAAUCUUGCACAAUGGGGGAAACCCUGAUGCAGCGACGCCGCGUGAGCGAUGAAGCCCUUCGGGGUGUAAAGCUCUUUCGGCAGGGAAGAUCAUGACGGUACCUGCAGAAGCAGCUGCGGCUAACUACGUGCCAGCAGCCGCGGUAAUACGUAGGCAGCAAGCGUUGUUCGGAGUUACUGGGCGUAAAGGGUGUGUAGGCGGUUAUUUAAGUUUGGUGUGAAAUCUCCCGGCUCAACCGGGAGGGUGCGCCGAAUACUGAGUGACUAGAGUGUGGGAGAGGAAAGUGGAAUUCCUGGUGUAGCGGUGAAAUGCGUAGAUAUCAGGAGGAACACCGGUGGUGUAGACGGCUUUCUGGACCAUAACUGACGCUGAGACACAAAAGCGUGGGUAGCAAACAGGAUUAGAUACCCUAGUAGUCC